rnacentral:rRNA from 1 species
AGUUGGUGGAGUGAUUUGUCUGGUUAAUUCCGUUAACGAACGAGACCUCAGCCUGCUUUUGUAGUCGGGGCGAUUUCCGAAUCGUGUGCGACUUCUUAGAGGGACUAUCGGUUGUUGAGCCGAUGGAAGUUUGAGGCAAUAACAGG